GAUGAACGCUGGCGGCGUGCCUAAUACAUGCAAGUCGAGCGAACAGAUGAGGAGCUUGCUCCUCUGACGUUAGCGGCGGACGGGUGAGUAACACGUGGAUAACCUACCUAUAAGACUGGGAUAACUUCGGGAAACCGGAGCUAAUACCGGAUAAUAUAUUGAACCGCAUGGUUCAAUAGUGAAAGACGGUUUUGCUGUCACUUAUAGAUGGAUCCGCGCCGCAUUAGCUAGUUGGUAAGGUAACGGCUUACCAAGGCAACGAUGCGUAGCCGACCUGAGAGGGUGAUCGGCCACACUGGAACUGAGCCGCGGUCCAGACUCCUACGGGAGGCCGCAGUAGGGAAUCUUCCGCAAUGGGCGAAAGCCUGACGGAGCAACGCCGCGUGAGUGAUGAAGGUCUUCGGAUCGUAAAACUCUGUUAUUAGGGAAGAACAAAUGUGUAAGUAACUAUGCACGUCUUGACGGUACCUAAUCAGAAAGCCACGGCUAACUACGUG
rnacentral:rRNA from 1 species